rnacentral:rRNA from 1 species
GACGAACGCUGGCGGCGUGCUUAACACAUGCAAGUCGAACGGAAAGGCCCUUCGGGGUACUCGAGUGGCGAACGGGUGAGUAACACGUGGGUGAUCUGCCCUGCACUUUGGGAUAAGCCUGGGAAACUGGGUCUAAUACCGAAUAGGACCGCGCGCUUCAUGGUGUGUGGUGGAAAGCUUUUGCGGUGUGGGAUGGGCCCGCGGCCUAUCAGCUUGUUGGUGGGGUAAUGGCCUACCAAGGCGACGACGGGUAGCCGGCCUGAGAGGGUGACCGGCCACACUGGGACUGAGAUACGGCCCAGACUCCUACGGGAGGCAGCAGUGGGGAAUAUUGCACAAUGGGCGCAAGCCUGAUGCAGCGACGCCGCGUGAGGGAUGACGGC